CCGAACUCUUGCUGCAGAGUUUCGAGCGCCGCUUCCUGGCGGCGCGCGCACUGCGCUCCUUUCCCUGGCAGAGCUUAGAAGCAAAGUUAAGAGACUCAUCAGAUUCUGAGCUGCUGCGGGAUAUUUUGCAGAAGACUCUCACUCUGUCACCCAGGCUGGAAUGCAAUGGCACGAUCUCAUCUCACUGCAAACUCUGCCUCCCGGGUUCAAGUAAUUCUCAUGCAUCAGCUUCCCAAGUAGCUGGGAUUACAGGCACCCACAACCAUACCUAGCUAAUUUUUGUAUUUUUGGUAAAGACAGGUUUCGCCAUGUUGGCCAGGUUGGUCUCGAACCCCUGACCUCUGGUGAUCUGCCUGCCUCAGCCUCCCAGAGUUCUACGAUUACAGCUGUGAGCCACCAUGCCCAUUCAGAAAAAUGUUUUUAAAUAAACGAUAGCCAGAGUCACCUGGUCAGGUGGAGAAAGAGCACUGCUCUGGCGGGCAGGCCACCAGCCUCUGUGAGAUACUCUCCUGAAGGGGGCAUUUCAGCGUCAGGGCCUGGUCACUCCCCAACUGGGGAUUCAAGGCGGCCCACCUCCACCACACCCGGUGUCCUGGGACAGGAACAUGCUGCAGGCCAGACAAGCAGCUCACAGCUCAGUGGCCCCCGACAAGCCCAGAGCUCCUCACCACAGCCGCACACCUACUUUCUAAAGCUGCCAGCAGGAUGGAGAAAUCUUCGUCCUCUAUGAGAAGAGAAUUGAAUGUCAGGGGCCUGUUUCUGGACACCCCUCUUCCAGCUCACACGCCCUCCCCUUCUCAUUGAGACCGUGGCGGGGUGGGGGUAUGCAGGACUGGCGGGGGUGAGGAGAACACAGGUUGGCCAGGUGCCGUCACACCAACCCCAAGUACUCCAGGGGUCGUGCAGACCUGUCUAGCUCGUGCUGCUGACCAGCAGGGCUGGCCGCUCACGGAGACAUGUCACCAGCCCGCUCCCAGCAUCCCGCUCCGUGAAGGCUGAUCGCUCCGUGGCUGGGUCCUCAGGUUCUGAGCCGAAAGAGCAGAAAAAAAGCCUGUGAGAGGCCACAGAGCA